rnacentral:rRNA from 1 species
AACUCUGAUGCAGCAACGCCGCGUGGAGGAUGACGCAUUUCGGUGUGUAAACUCCUUUUAUAUGGGAAGAUAAUGACGGUACCAUAUGAAUAAGCACCGGCUAACUCCGUGCCAGCAGCCGCGGUAAUACGGAGGGUGCAAGCGUUACUCGGAAUCACUGGGCGUAAAGCGCGCGCAGGCGGCCAUUUAAGUUGGAUGUGAAAGCCUACAGCUCAACUGUAGAACUGCAUCCAAAACUAUUUGGCUAGAGUGUGGGAGAGGAAGAUGGAAUUAGUUGU